rnacentral:rRNA from 1 species
UACGAAGGGGGCUAGCGUUGCUCGGAAUCACUGGGCGUAAAGCGCACGUAGGCGGAUUGCUAAGUCAGGGGUGAAAUCCUGGAGCUCAACUCCGGAACUGCCUUUGAUACUGGCGGUCUCGAGUCCGGGAGAGGUGAGUGGAACUGCGAGUGUAGAGGUGAAAUUCGUAGAUAUUCGCAAGAACACCAGUGGCGAAGGCGGCUCACUGGCCCGGUACUGACGCUGAGGUGCGAAAGCGUGGGGAGCAAACAGG